AGUGAACGCUGGCGGUAGGCCUAACACAUGCAAGUCGAACGGCAGCACAGUAAGAGCUUGCUCUUACGGGUGGCGAGUGGCGGACGGGUGAGGAAUACAUCGGAAUCUACUUUUUCGUGGGGGAUAACGUAGGGAAACUUACGCUAAUACCGCAUACGACCUACGGGUGAAAGCAGGGGAUCUUCUGACCUUGCGCGAUUGAAUGAGCCGAUGUCGGAUUAGCUAGUUGGCGGGGUAAAGGCCCACCAAGGCGACGAUCCGUAGCUGGUCUGAGAGGAUGAUCAGCCACACUGGAACUGAGACACGGUACAGACGACUACGGGAGGCAGCAGUGGGGAAUAUUGGACAAUGGGCGCAAGCCUGAUCCAGCCAUACCGCGUGGGUGAAGAAGGACUUCGGGUUGUAAAGCCCUUUUGUUGGGAAAGAAAAGCAGCAGGUUAAUACCCCGCUGUUCUGACGGUACCCAAAGAAUAAGCACCGGCUAACUUCGUG
rnacentral:rRNA from 1 species